ACACAGCUGGGAGAGCAGAGGAGCAGUGUGUGUGAGCCUGUCCCACCCUGUGCCUGGGUGGACACACCUCCAAGGACGUGUUGAGGUCAGGAGGGACCUUUUUGCCUGUGGAUCCUUAAUGACUGAUAAGGAAUGUGUAGCCUCAUACUGAAGAUCCCUGGGUAAAAUAAGACCUCUCAGGAAUGCUGGCAUAAGACAAGAAGAAAUGCCAGAACAUUAAUUCUCUGGUGCAAGCUUCUCUCUGUGACACUUUUGCUAAGAUGUGGCUGAACACUGGAUCCUGGAGAUGCAUACGUCAGAGAAAGAAACAUGAGCAGCAGGUUCUGGAUGAGGAGCUGACAUUCAGGAUGCCCUUUCCCUCACAUGCCAAAGUAGCUGAAAAUCUUCAGUUACCAAACAGGUGAGUGAGGUGGACAGGCUCUGAUGGCAACGGAAGGAGAAGGCAAAGGCAAAAGGAGCUGGACAAUGGCAUGGAAGGAGAAGAAAUGAGAACAGCAAUAUGAAAUAAAAUUAGCUUGAUUAAUUGGCCUGUUUCUCUUGACUGCACCUGCAAGAGAAGCAGAGAGAGACUACACUAUGGAAAUAAAUUUGCUUAGAUUUGCACAACUAGCCUUUUUUUUCCUCUAAGUGAAUGUUGCAACUAUAUAAAAUAUGUGUACCACCUUUUUUCAUAAAACAAGAAGGAUAUCAGAACAUUAAACCCAAGUUGUACAAGGCAUUUUCAAGUGCAGAAAAAGUUUUCAGUAUUGAUACCAGAUGUUUUGUAUUAGUUCUUACCGUAUUCAUUAUUUACAUUAGAAGGAGAGGGUUCUCAAAAUUCCCUCUCAAUUUUGAGAGGAUAAACAUUAAGAUUAGUGAAACCUUGGUUUCUCAUGGGUGUUCUACAUGUGUCCUAAUAAUAUGAUAUGGACCUUCAAUAAAGCUGUAACUCCCAGGAGAACAUACAGGACUAGAAUAAUCUAUCUAAAGAUGGCUUUGUUUGAAAUUAUUAGUUUAGACUGAAAAUUACAGCAAGUUGUAAGAAUCCUAAAAAAUCCCUGUAAAAUAAAACAUUCAGUAAGUGUGAUAUGAAUUUAGAAUCCUAAGGAAUAUGAUAACUUUCC